rnacentral:rRNA from 1 species
GGCGGCGUGCUAACACAUGCAAGUCGAACGGUGCUUUCGGGCAUAGUGGCGAACGGGUGAGUAACACGUGGUUUACCUACCCCAGAGAGCGGGACAACGGAUCGAAAGGUCUGCUAAUACCGCAUAAGCUCACGUUGAAUAGCGAGAUGUGAGAAAAGGCGCAAGCCGCUGUGGGAUGGGACUGCGGUCCAUCAGCUAGUUGGUGAGGUAAUGGCUCACCAAGGCGACGACGGAUAGGGGGCCUGAGAGGGUGACCCUCCACACUGGAACUGAGACACGGUCCAGACUCCUACGGGAGGCAGCAGUGAGGAAUAUUGCUCAAUGGGGGCAACCCUGAAGCAGCAACGCCGCGUGGGUGAUGAAGGCUUUCGGGUCGUAAAGCCCUUUUCUGUGUGACGAGAACGGACGGUAGCACAGGAAAUAAGUGUCGGCUAACUAC